rnacentral:tRNA from 1 species
UUAAAUAAAAUCAAAUCAGCGAUGUGCUAUUGUUAAUAGUAAUUAGAGAAAUUUCUCUGUUUAAA